rnacentral:rRNA from 1 species
AUUGAACGCUGGCGGCAGGCUUAACACAUGCAAGUCGAGCGGGGUGAUGGUGCUUGCACUAUCACUUAGCGGCGGACGGGUGAGUAAUGCUUAGGAAUCUGCCUAUUAGUGGGGGACAACAUCUCGAAAGGGAUGCUAAUACCGCAUACGUCCUACGGGAGAAAGCAGGGGAUCACUUGUGACCUUGCGCUAAUAGAUGAGCCUAAGUCGGAUUAGCUAGUUGGUGGGGUAAAGGCCUACCAAGGCGACGAUCGGUAGCGGGUCUGAGAGGAUGGUCCGCCACACUGGAACUGAGAAACGGCCCAGACUCCUACGGGAGGCAGCAGUGGGGAAUAUUGGACAAUGGGGGGAACCCUGAUCCAGCCAUGCCGCGUGUGUGAAGAAGGCCUUAUGGUUGUAAAGCACUUUAAGCGAGGAGGAGGCUCUUUUGGUUAAUACCCAAGAUGAGUGGACGUUACUCGCAGAAUAAGCACCGGCUAACUCUGUGCCAGCCGCCGCCGUAA